rnacentral:tRNA from 1 species
GUUGUCGUGUCCGAGUGGUUAAGGCGAUGGACUAGAAAUCUUUUGGGAUCUUCUUGCGCAGGUUCUAAUCCUGCCGACAUCG